GCUGCUGCGACUGGACGCCACCUCCAGCGAAGAAGAGAAGAAGGUGGCCGAGUUGUGGCUGCUGGCCAUGCACAAGGCGGCCAAGCUGCUCUACGAGUCUCGGGAACACCAGUGAGUCCAAACCGGUUGCCCAAAGAACCUUCUUCCUCCUUUCUCGAAAGUGACCAGCAUCUCCAGCCACAAUUUGGUACUCAUCGUAUUUACCAUCUUUUCUACUUCCGCUUUUGGCCAUCUUGGCGUUUGCCAUCCAAAGCUCAGCGGGCGGGCGAAGACGUCACUUCCUGGACUGAAAGCCUGUUUUUAACGGGCAUUGCCCGAUAGCUGUGAAUGGGAUUGUGGCAAGUGUACUCUUGGAUGU